AUGCCUACUAUUGACAAUCACUUGGGGAAAGCAGUUGGUAGCUUAUUGCAGGUCUAGUGCAAUGUGUUUCAAGGUGUAGCAAGGGAAGUUGCUUUGACUUCAGGUGGUGGAUUAAAGAAGCUAUCUUUAUUAACUGAUGACUAUGAAGAGGUUGCAAUGGUGCAUCAUAAGAAUACAAUUCUGGUCAAUCUUAGGAUCUCAACAAAAUGGACCUGUCUACACAAGGCAGUUGGACCAUUCCACGAAUGUAAAGUGGGCCAAGCAUAGGCUAAG